AGGAUGAACGCUAGCGGGAGGCCUAACACAUGCAAGUCGAACGGGAUCCCCGAGCAAUCGGGGUGAGAGUGGCGCACGGGUGAGUAACGCGUAUGCAACCUACCUUUAACAGAGGGAUAGCCCAUAGAAAUGUGGAUUAAUACCUCAUAGUCCUUUUGGCCCGCAUGGGUUGAAAGGUAAAGCCACCAGGCGGUUAAAGAUGGGCAUGCGUGACAUUAGCUAGUUGGUGAGGUAACGGCCCACCAAGGCGACGAUGGGUAGCCGAGCUGAGAGGCUGAACGGCCACACUGGAACUGAGAUACGGUCCAGACUCCUACGGGAGGCAGCAGUGAGGAAUAUUGGUCAAUGGGCGCAAGCCUGAACCAGCCAUCCCGCGUGCAGGAUGACGGCCCUAUGGGUUGUAAACUGCUUUUAUACACCAAGAAAAACCUCCACGUGUGGAGACUUGACGGUAGUGUAUGAAUAAGCAUCGGCUAACUCCGUGCCAGCAGCCGCGGUAAUACGGAGGAUGCAAGCGUUAUCCGGAUUCAUUGGGUUUAAAGGGUGCGUAGGCGGCCUUUUAAGUCAGUGGUGAAAUCUUGCCGCUUAACGGUAAAAUUGCCAUUGAUACUGAAAGGCUUGAGUACAUUUGAGGUAAGCGGAAUGUGUAGUGUAGCGGUGAAAUGCUUAGAUAUUACACAGAACACCAAUUGCGAAGGCAGCUUACUAAACUGUUACUGACGCUGAUGCACGAAAGCGUGGGGAGCAAACAGGAUUAGAUACCCUGGUAGUCCACGCUGUAAACGAUGAAUACUAGGUGUAGGGGGUAUCGACCCCCCCUGUGCCGCAGUUAACACAAUAAGUAUCCCACCUGGGGGAGUACGGCCGCAAG
rnacentral:rRNA from 1 species